rnacentral:lncRNA from 1 species
GCCACCAUGUUGGACUGAGCAUCUUGUGCAGCUUCUGCAAAGACAGACCGACUCGAGGAGCUGAAGUGCUCUCGCAGCCGUUUCCCAUCAGGAACUCUGGCCUGAGGCACCAGGUGCAAGGCCUCUGCGUGCGGCCUCCUGUGAGCUUGUGAAACACACCAAGCACAAAGGAAAAGAAACAGGAUCCUGCUGGCAACGGCGUGAUGACACGUUUCUGCUGACAGCUCUGAACUUUCAGGCAGAAUCUCUGUGAAUAAGGUUUGCUGUCCGGUCUCACCCUGACUGUAAAUUCCUCAAGGGCAUGAACCACAGCCUCCUUUGGUCUCUCUUGGUGCCACAUAUGGAGCCAUGUCCCCGUGACCACUCAAAACCCAUGACGGGCAUCCAGACACUCAGAUAACCUCCUAGGUGAUGUGCUCUGACACAGAGAGCAUGUGCUGUUGGGCUUGCUGUUUAUAUUUUUGGAACCUGAGUCAGCGUGCUUGCAUAGAAUGGCCAAGAAAACAAAGCGAGGGGCCAGGCUGAGACAAGACUGGGAAUCUUACUUCCCAAAUUCGUGACUUAAAGAAAACAGUGGGGACGAGACAGGAGAGUCUCUCACCCGUCAAGAGUGCGUGACUGAGGGUGACCUCGAAAGGUCUCAAGCGAUCUGAAAUGUUGUUAUUGGUAAGAAUUAUGCCUACACAUGAUCAGCGCUUUAUACCUUGCAUUUAGUCAUUCAUUCAAGAACAAACCUCACUGUAUGGCAGAACCACCAGAAUAGGAUGCCUGCCUUCAAGGAUCUGGGCUCUUUGCUUAUUUGAUCUUCUAAGAUCGCUUCAGGACAGUUUGGCAGCCCCCAUCACCCCUGGGGAAUAAAGCCUAAGGUUUCCAACUUCAGACUUUGGGAUUUAACCGCAAAGCAUAGGGUAACAUGAUGAGUUCUUCCAGCUUCGCUGUAUUCAUAAGUGUUCAAAGCAUCAUCCGUCUUAGGGGGCAUAAGAGUCAAGGUUGAGCAUAAAGGGAUUCAUCGUAGGAACUGGCUGACGUCAUUGUGGGCAUGGGCUAAGCGCGAGUGAAGUUCCCAGGGAAACAGUCAGGAAAGGUGCCAGUGGGCUGGAAGCCCACGGACUAAGUCUGAUGCUGGCUGUCCAUCUGCAGGAAGCCGUGUAGAAGGAUGGUCCAGGGGAAAGGAGAGCACCAGACACCAAGCAGCUGGUCGGCAUCUCUGAGCCCGUUUCAAUAAACGCCUUGCAACUGAUAAAAUCAGGCCGCCCAAAAAACAGGCAAAUAAAGUGACCACCCAACGGGUGGUCUGUAGGGUUGAACUUGACAGUCUGCUUCUUCUCACCCACAACCCUUUGUUCUUGCCAUGGUCACCGCUCCACCGCUUGUGUUCCUUUUCCUGGCUGAGGCAAUCCACAGGAGCGCAAGUCAAAAGUCAGAAGUGAGUACCACUGUCAGGUGGGCAGAUGAGAGGUGAGAUGUUUGGCCAUCCCCAGGGGCUCCUGGGCAGAAAGUCCCCCCAGCCCUAGACUUCAGCAUGGGACUGUUAGACCUCUGAGGCCUCAGACACUCUUACGUGGCAGGCUGCAUGCUCCAGGCUUCUCCCUCAAUAAUCCAUCUCUUCUUUGGGAGCUUCUGCAAAGCUGACUCUAAUAUAAAUCUGUUUCCAUUGUGUUGCUUGAUCUUCUUUCUAAGCAGAUUUCACUUUGGAAAUGUUUUGUUACCUCCUUUCAGUUGACUAUUUUUAGGCUACAAAUUCAAAAUUUAUGAACCAGCCUUUCAAUGAUUCAAGACCAAAUUUUGCUAGGGAGGUUGGAGUGAUUUUUGGGUGGUUAAAAAUGAGCAACAAACACUCUUCACCCACUAUUCUUACUGAGAAGUAAAUAAUAAUAGACAUAAAUGCGCACAGAACUCAAACAAACUGUCAACACAAAUUAAUUCUCCUGUUACACUUUGGCAGGGAAACAGAAGCAGCCAUUUGCCUUGUCUAGGUUCAGCCUCCUCCCUAGACAUUGUCUCAGAAGUUGCCAGAACACCACUGACACUGGCCACCCAUCUUCUCCGUGCUCACAUAAGGCUUAUAAGACUGAACUUGAAAAUACCCACAUGCUAAGACGUCAGUCAAAACGCUACCCCAAAGUUAUGUUAUUCAGUGACGCAGCAACAGACUCCUAGUCUUCAAAGCCGCAUUGAACCAUCUCCAAGUCACCAAAUAUUGAUGAAGCUCCUCUUAUGUAUCAGAAACUCUUUUUGAUGCUGAGAUUAGAGCUGAGAACAGGACAAACGGGGUUUCCGAUCGUAGGCUUACUUAUAUUCUGCAGAAGCUCUAGAGACAUUAAACUAGUAAACAAGUAUGAGACACUUCACAUUUUGGUGCAGGCAGCUAAGAAAAGGAACAAGGUGAUCCAAUCAAAAGUGAUUACGACUCUAGUUGUGACUUAAAAACGGAGAAACCUUUCUCCAAUCCAAAGAAGCACUACUGUAUAUCCUUUGAUAGAGAAGAUCAUUUGUCAGUACUAUCAACAAUUCUACACUGAUGCAUUUUGUUCAGAACUUGCAUCCCAAUGUAAUGCCAUACAUUUCUUAAAAUACUUAUGCCGUCACCAAAAGAAACACAGUGUAAAAGGAAUGUUAGCAUUUAAAACGAGUAGCUAACACAGUACUUCUCAUACACAAAGGAAAUAGUAUUUAAAAGAUAGAUGCCUACUUAACAAUCCUUGAGGGAAGACUGAAUAUUUAAAAAUCAAGAACAAACCGCAUUUUAGCCAAAAGGAGAGAUGGGUGAAGAAAACGCCCAUGGGUCCAGGUAGAUGCAGUCCAGCAGAACUCAGUUAAAAUUAGCCAGAUUACAAACACUCUGAUUUUUUGCAAAGGGAUGAAGAUGCUCUCUGAUGGGCUAUUUAGAAAAGAGGGCACUUGCAUUGUUUCAGAGGCUGAUGUGACAGUGACAGAUUUAUAGCAGAUUAAGGAGCUCAAUUUUAUUUCUUCCUCACAUCUACAUAAUGCUGACCUAUUUUUGAAGUCCAUGUCCUUAGAAAUUUUCUUGUCAGUGGCUACAGGAUAUUAGCAGUCAAGCUAUUUUAUAAAUGACAAGCUUGACUUUAUUUUUUUUCAACCCAGUGUAUUAGCCCAUUCAUCAAAAAUACACAUAAAAGGCAGUCUCACUAGGCUGUAGAGAAAACAUACAGCAGCGUGGGUGCUGAAAAAAAAGUUCAGCUCAGCCAAAAUUCAAAAUAUUAACUCUCAAUUUUCUUGGCCACAAUUACUUACAUCUUUCUCAUCUUAAAAAAAAAAAAUACCAAGCCUUUGACAUCAUGUAAACAAUUAAGAAAAAAAGUCCCCACAGUAUUUCUUCUAGAUACGUAAAUUGCUUUUGCUGCUUUAAGGUCCAAUUUGGGACUGUGGAAUGAGGCAACCCGGCAGUAUAUCCUAACUCAUUGAAUCUUCUCAAAAGCCCUGCAAAAGAAUUACCUUCAUCAUCAUCACCACUAUCAUCAUCAUUCUUCCCAGUCUAUAAAUUAGAAAGUUCAAGGAAUUCAUCCAGGUUCGAAGAGCUAAUGCAAGGCAGAAUGGUGAUUUUUAACUACAAGCCUUUUGACUCAAAAGUCCCAUGAAAACUCUUGACUUUUCUGCCGAGACCUCCUGAAUACUUCAUCAACCUGUCUAAAAGCACCUAACUCUCCACUCUCUAUUAGAAAUCCGUAUACAGUGCACGUAUGCCUCCCCUCUUAGCUCUGAGUAGAAUGCGUGCCUGAUGGUUCCUUGCAGUUAGGGGUUUAUUUAAAAAAGACGGAAUAACUACCACAGUCGCCACCGCUGUAAUCAGCCUGAACACUGUCUUCGAUCACAUUCUGUACCCGGGAUCGCAUGAGGUGUUUUAAAUCUUUUUUAAAAUUGAAGUCUGGUUGAUUUAUAAGGCUUUAGGUGUACAGCAAAGUGAUUCAGUCAUGCUAUGCAGGUCCAUUCUUUUUCAGAGUCUUUUCCAUUACAGGUAGUUGCAAGAUACUGAAUAUAGUUCCCUGUGCUAUAGUAGUGCUUUGUUUUCUAUCUAUUUUUUUAUACAAAAUAGAUGUAUAUCUAUUAAUCCCAAAUUCUUAAUUUAUCCCUCCUCCCUCUUCUCUCCUUGGAGUACCAUAAGUUGUUGUCUAUGUCUGUGAGCCUACUUCUAUUUUGUAAAAAAGUUCGUUUGUAUCAUUUUUUAAGAUUCCACAUGUCAGUGAUAUCAUAUGAUAUUUGCCUUUCUCUGACUUACUUCUAAGUGUUUUAAUUCAUUUUAAAAUAUAAUCCUCAAGUUAAUCCCAAGUAAUGUAAAUACCAACAGUAUUUCUAUUCUUUAAAUAGGAAAACUGAGGCUGAAGGAAGUUUCUUUUCAAGAUAACAGGACAAACACAGGAAUAAAUUUAGUAGUAUUAAGCACAUCAUAUACACAUAUACACAUAUUCUUUUCCUUUCGAGGUUACAGGAUUUUGAGUAUAGUUCCCUAUAAAAUAUAGUAGCUCCUUGAUGUUUACCUAUUUUAUACGUAAAAAUAGCCAGACUGUGCAUAUAUCUCUAAGGUGGGGCUGAUAGGAUUUUCUGACAAAUUAGACAUGGGGGAUGAAGAAAAAGGAGUCCUUAAGGAUAACACUGAGCAACUGGAUGGAUGGAGCAGCGCGUAGAGAAAGGAAGGUCAAAAGUUUAGUUUAGUUAAGAACCAACAUUUGAGACCCCUAGGAGAUAAAUGGAAGCGGUGAGUGGGCAGUUAAUUACAUGAGUCAUAAAUACCCAGACAGGACAGAAAAAUUAGGGCGCUCCCGUGAUAUGGAUUACUGAAAUCCACGAGACUGAGUGAGCUCAGCAAAAGAAUGAGUCUACACAGCGAGAAGAGCCCCAAGGGUUGACCACUGAGCCACUCCCCAGCUUAGAGAUAAGAAAGAUGUGGAACCAUCUGUAAAGGAGACAGAAUCACGGAGCAGGGAAACCAGCGGAAUGUGUGUUCCUGGAAGCUGAGUGGAGAGUGACUUCCAAAAAGGAGGCAGUGAUGACCUCGUCGGAUGCCGCUGAUGAGGCGAGCGGGACGCCACCUGAAAGCUGGUGUUGGAUUUUGCCCUGGCACUAUCCCUGGAGACUGGCCAUCCAGCUUUGCUGGCGUGAACGGGGUCGAGAUAUUUAACGGCCAUUUGAGUGACGUGUCCUCCUUCAUGGGGCCCUGGGAUUUUCUCCCAAGUAUUAGUGCCAUGAAAAUAGCUGACUUGGGGGGAACCAUCGAUCGUUCUAAUUGCAGAUGUUUUUGCUCGGUAUUAAAGGAAUUCAUCUGGUU